GAUGAACGCUAGCGGCAGGCCUAAUACAUGCAAGUCGAACGGUGUCUUCGGACAUAGUGGCGCACGGGUGUGUAACACGUAUGCAACCUACCUUACACUGGGGGAUAGCCUUUCGAAAGGGAGAUUAAUACCGCAUAAGACAGUAGCUGGGCAUCCAGCAGCUGUUAAAGAUUUAUCGAUGUAAGCUGGGCAUGCGUCCAAUUAGCUAGUUGGUGAGGUAACGGCUCACCAAGGCAAUGAUUGGUAGGGGAACUGAGAGGUCAAUCCCCCACACUGGCACUGAGAUACGGGCCAGACUCCUACGGGAGGCAGCAGUAGGGAAUAUUGGGCAAUGGACGCAAGUCUGACCCAGCCAUGCCGCGUGCAGGAUGAAGGCGUUAUGCGUUGUAAACUGCUUUUAUACAGGAAGAAACGACUCUUGCGAGAGGCAUUGACGGUACUGUAUGAAUAAGCACCGGCUAACUCCGUGCCAGCCGCCGCCGCAGUAA
rnacentral:rRNA from 1 species